UACGUAGGGUCCGAGCGUUGUCCGGAAUUACUCGGCGUAAAGCGCGCGCAGGCGGCCCGCGAGGUGUCACGUGAAAGCCCCGGGCUCAACCCGGGAGGGUCGUGGCAAACCGGCGGGCUUGAGGCCGGUAGAGGUGGGUGGAACUCCUGGUGGAGUGGUGAAAUGCGCAGAUAUCGGGAGGAACACCAAUGGCGAAGGCAGCUCGCUGGGACGGUACUGACGCUGAGGCGCGAAAGCGUGGGGAGCAAACAGG
rnacentral:rRNA from 1 species